UACGAAGGGGGCUAGCGUUGCUCGGAAUCACUGGGCGUAAAGGGUGCGUAGGCGGGUCUUUAAGUCAGGGGUGAAAUCCUGGAGCUCAACUCCAGAACUGCCUUUGAUACUGAAGAUCUUGAGUUCGGGAGAGGUGAGUGGAACUGCGAGUGUAGAGGUGAAAUUCGUAGAUAUUCGCAAGAACACCAGUGGCGAAGGCGGCUCACUGGCCCGAUACUGACGCUGAGGCGCGAAAGCGUGGGUAGCAAACAGG
rnacentral:rRNA from 1 species